CCUCCUCCCCUCUCUUGAUAUUUUCUUCUUCUUCUCUCCAAGUUCCGACCAGCACCGUCCCCUCCCAUUCCAGAUCUUCUCUUUCCGAAGCCGCGCCGACAAGGCUUUGCCCGAUUAUUUUCGCCCACACCACCGCAACAGACAUCGGUGCCCCUCGCGGUUCAGCUGUUCGUCACUGUUCCUCCAUUCGCACGGUUGCCUCUUCUUCCUUGUGUGUCGUCCGACGAAACCAGCUACUACACUAAAUUUCUCCUUCAGCCGCUAUGUGUGGUAACCUGUCGAAGAUCGGUUUAGCCGUUGGUGUCCAUUCUUCUUUCAGAUCCAUUAUUUUAGAAUUUGAAUAUUAGAGGAUUUUGCGUCGCUGUCCAGCCCUUCAAAAACACGAAAUUGGGCGUUUUGGCACAACUUGGCGCCACCUAUGGUUGUCAGAGGGUUCCGAGGCUGAAAGAGGCCAUGACCAGAGAUCCGAGAACCUGAACCUAGGCAAGGAUGUGGAUGGAAGAUUGUGAUAUGGCUUUGGGCCUAGCUAAACCCAUGGUGGGUGGCUCUAUGUGUACAUAGAAGCGGUAUGUUGUUACUGUGGUAGGUGCUGAGUGUGCGUGAGCUCCAUUUGACCACGUGUUUCCUUUUGGAGAUGAAGCACAUGUGAGCUAUUCUCGGGUCGUAUACUUAGUAUGCUAUCUUGGUUGGAUUGGAUUGGUUGGAGGUUGCCAUCGUGGCGGGUAUUUAAGAUGCGUGAGCUAAUUUUGGCCGCAUGAUUCUUUGUCAUAUGCGAGCUAUCUUUGGCCGUAUUUUUAGAUGCCUUGCCAUGGUUGGAUCGACUACAGGUAGCGAUCAAGGGCCAAACGUUGAUUAAAUACUCGUCAUCGAUUGUAGUUCUCCAUUAUCUUUUUUUGUAUGUAUGUAGUUAUCUUUUGUUUGUAUCAUGGAUUAGUUAGAGGUAGCGAGGGUGAGGCUGAGAACUUGAGUUUGGGGAGAUCUCUCAUUAGAUUGAAACUAUUUUGUAUGUAAUAUUUAGCUUGAAUAUGAUUUCUGUCUGAAACUCUGGAACUGUCUAGAUAAGUGUGUGGUGAGACACACUUGAUGUAUU